CGCCUCUUGAAUCAGUAUAAGAGGUCCAGCCUGCCCAGUGACCCUGUUCAACGGCCGCGGUAUCCUAACCGUGCGAAGGUAGCGUAAUCACUUGUUCUUUAAAUGAGGACUAGUAUGAACGGCAUCACGAAGGUUAUACUGUCUCCUUUUUCUAAUCAGUGAAUCUAAUCUCCCCGUGAAGAAGCGGGAAUAUAACUAUAAGACGAGAAGACCCUAUGGAGCUUAAAACAACACAGCACUUGUCAAAAAACUAAACAAUUCCAGAAUUUUUAAUUUCUAGGCAACAUGACUAUAAGUUUUUGGUUGGGGUGACCGCGGAGUAUAAUAUAACCUCCAUGUUGAAAGAAUUUUAUUCUAAGCCAAAAAGUACAUUUUUAAGCAUCAAUAAAUUGACAUCUAUUGACCCAAUAUACUUGAACAACGAACCAAGUUACCCUAGGGAUAACAGCGCAAUCCACUUCAAGAGCUCCUAUCGACAAGUGGGUUUACGACCUCGAUGUUGGAUCAGGGUUUCCCAGUGGUGCAGCCGCUACUAAAGGUUCGUUUGUUCAACGAUUAAAACCCU
rnacentral:rRNA from 1 species